AAUUUAUGAGCUUGAAUUAAGCAUAUGUUUUGAAAACAUAAUAUAAAAUUUUAAAUAUUUUAUAAAUUU
rnacentral:tRNA from 1 species